GGGGCGUGUGGGGAUCCGUCUGCGACGACCAAUGGGAUGAGAGCGACGUGGAGGUCGUCUGUCGACAGCUGGGCCUGGGGGGUGUAGCACGAGCGUGGGGUCAGGCGUAUUUCGGUGCGGGGUCAGGCAGGGUGUGGCUGGAUGAGGUGCGCUGCACGGGGAACGAGCUGACCCUGGAACAGUGUCCUAAAGCUGCCUGGGGAGAACACAACUGUCUCCACUCUGAAGAUGCAGGGGUCUCCUGUACCCCUCUCACUGAUGGUUCAGUGCGGUUGUCUGGGGAUAGUGGGAGCAGUGAGGGUAGGCUGGAGGUGUUCUAUAGAGGUCAGUGGGGACGG